UACGAAGGACCCGAGCGUUAUCCGGAUUUAUUGGGCUUAAAGGGUGCGUAGGCGGAUUAGUAAGUCAGUGGUGAAAGCCCGUCGCUUAACGGCGGAACUGCCAUUGAUACUGCUAGUCUUGAGUAUGGUUGAGGUGGGCGGAAUGUGUCAUGUAGCGGUGAAAUGCUUAGAUAUGACCAAGAACACCAAUGGCGAAGGCAGCUCGCUAGGCCAUAACUGACGCUGAUGCGCGAAAGCGUGGGGAGCAAACAGG
rnacentral:rRNA from 1 species